rnacentral:snRNA from 1 species
UUACAUACCUGGAUGGGGUUAAUGGAUGAUCAAGAAGGUCCAUGGCCUAGAACAGUAACCUCCAUUGCACUUGGGAUAGUUCCUGUUCUAAGGUCUACAUUUUUGUAGAACCUACAUCAUAAUUUGUGACUGUGGGCCUGCGUUUUGCGCGGCCCUU